rnacentral:lncRNA from 1 species
AGAUUAAAUCCAGUCUAACUCACCUGGAUCUAAUCCCUAUGAUUUUUCGGGCCCUUCUUAGCUGGUACAAUUUUUUGCGAUUAUUUUAGCUCUCUUUCUCUCUUUUUCUGUUCAAUUUUGCGAGUUAUUACAUGACUAUGAAUAUGAUGGUUCUUACAGUGUUUUAUCUGAUCAUAGCAAACGCACUCUGUCCCAAAACCACAUCAAAUUAAUGUUUUGAGGCAAUUUCUUCGUUUGCGAGACUAAUCGAUUUUUCGUGUUUCCGCCAAAACUCGUCCGUAAGGGAGCACAUGGCAGUGAUCUUGCGGAGGUUGGUCGGAUUACAUUUAUUGUUUUACUUUUAUUUCAUAUUCUAAUUUUAUGGGAGGAGUCCCGAUUUUUUUUUGUUUAAUCUAGUAGGUGGUUUUGAAUUUUGUUUAUAUUUACACUAUUUUUCUCCUCUGCGAUCUAUGAAAGCAAUUUAUUUUUCUAUGUCAUAAUAUUAUAGGAAUAGUGUUUUUUAAUUGAUUUUAUAAUGUAAUCUAAAAGGAUAAUUUAGUUUUUUGAUUGCCUGUUACAAUCAAAUCAAUUCAAAUUAUAGAAACUAAUUUAUAUUGUUAUUGGUGAUGUUGGUGAUUUUAGUUGUAACCCUUUGAGGCCUGAAGUUUUAGUGUUAGGGUCAUGUGAGCAUUAUGAUAAAAAUAGUUGGCAAAGAAGUAAACAGGUCAGCACCUCGACAAUUUAUUUAGGAUGUGUUUGGUUACAUUUUUUGAUUUUUUUAUUUUUAAAAAAUAUUUUUUAAUUUUUUGAUCUUUGUUAUUGAGUAAAAGCAAAAAAGCAAAAAGUAUGUUCGGUAACUACGCUGCUAUAAAGCAAAAGGCAACAUUUGGAAAUGAUAGGUGAAGAGCUCGAUGAGGGAAAAGGGUUCGGAAAGGGAGGGAGAAGAGUUCAGGAAAGGAGGGAGGUAAAGAGCUCUACGAAAGAAAAGGAUUCGGAAAGGGAGGGAGAAGGGUUCAGGAAGGGAGGGAGGUGAGAAGACCUCCUUUUAUCAAAUAUUUAGAGUUUCUAUGUGACAAUAUCACAAUUUUGAAGAAAUUGAUAGGCAUCUAGUACAAAACAUACUAGUUGAGAUGUUCUAUGGUGCGGAAAACAUUAUGCAUGAGUCAUGACCCCAAUGAAGAACCAAGAAUGAUAUAACUUCGAAGACCAAAGAGUUUGAUUAAAUUUUAAUUUGUAUCUCAGCAUGGCAAUUGUGAUCGAGAUGUAAUCCUUGAUGCAAUGCAUGAGUUAGACUGGAUUGUACCAGCUAAGAAGGGCCAGGAAAAUCACAGGGAUCAGAUCCAGGUGAGUUAGACUGGAUUUAAUCUCGCAAGUUUAUAAAUAUAUUAUUGUCCGGAUCGGAUGCAUUUCUAGAUCCAAACGAGAAGUUGAUCUUGCUUUCAGGUACUCUCUAAUCACAAAAAAAAACCUAUAAACCUUAAAUCAUCAUUGAAAAAUUUUCAAAAGAGGAGAGACAGAGAAUAGAAAGAAAAUAAAAUGCAAAAAAUAAAAGUAAAUUUGAAUACGUACACAACAAUAGAAAAGACGGUUUCGG